CCACGGUGCUGAAGCAACAAAUGCCCUGCUUCCAGGAAAAGCCUCUAAGCAUCAGGUAACAUCAAAUCGUACCCCAAACCGACACAGGUGGUCAGGUAGAGAAUACCAAGGCGCUUGAGAGAACUCGGGUGAAGGAACUAGGCAAAAUGGUGCCGUAACUUCGGGAGAAGGCACGCUGACACGUAGGUGAAGUGAUUUACUCAUGGAGCUGAAGUCAGUCGAAGAUACCAGCUGGCUGCAACUGUUUAUUAAAAACACAGCACUGUGCAAACACGAAAGUGGACGUAUACGGUGUGACGCCUGCCCGGUGCCGGAAGGUUAAUUGAUGGGGUCAGCGCAAGCGAAGCUCCUGAUCGAAGCCCCGGUAAACGGCGGCCGUAACUAUAACGGUCCUAAGGUAGCGAAAUUCCUUGUCGGGUAAGUUCCGACCUGCACGAAUGGCGUAAUGAUGGCCAGGCUGUCUCCACCCGAGACUCAGUGAAAUUGAACUCGCUGUGAAGAUGCAGUGUACCCGCGGCAAGACGGAAAGACCCCGUGAACCUUUACUAUAGCUUGACACUGAACAUUGAGCCUUGAUGUGUAGGAUAGGUGGGAGGCUUUGAAGCGUGGACGCCAGUCUGCGUGGAGCCGACCUUGAAAUACCACCCUUUAAUGUUUGAUGUUCUAACGUGGACCCGUAAUCCGGGUUGCGGACAGUGUCUGGUGGGUAGUUUGACUGGGGCGGUCUCCUCCUAAAGAGUAACGGAGGAGCACGAAGGUUGGCUAAUCCUGGUCGGACAUCAGGAGGUUAGUGCAAUGGCAUAAGCCAGCUUGACUGCGAGCGUGACGGCGCGAGCAGGUGCGAAAGCAGGUCAUAGUGAUCCGGUGGUUCUGAAUGGAAGGGCCAUCGCUCAACGGAUAAAAGGUACUCCGGGGAUAACAGGCUGAUACCGCCCAAGAGUUCAUAUCGACGGCGGUGUUUGGCACCUCGAUGUCGGCUCAUCACAUCCUGGGGCUGAAGUAGGUCCCAAGGGUAUGGCUGUUCGCCAUUUAAAGUGGUACGCGAGCUGGGUUUAGAACGUCGUGAGACAGUUCGGUCCCUAUCUGCCGUGGGCGCUGGAAGACUGAGGGGGGCUGCUCCUAGUACGAGAGGACCGGAGUGGACGCAUCACUGGUGUUCGGGUUGUCAUGCCAAUGGCACUGCCCGGUAGCUAAAUGCGGAAAAGAUAAGUGCUGAAAGCAUCUAAGCACGAAACUUGCCCCGAGAUGAGUCUUCCCUGAGACUUUGAGUCUCCUGAAGGAACGUUAAAGACGAUGACGUUGAUAGGCCGGGUGUGUAAGCGCAGCGAUGCGUUGAGCUAACCGGUACUAAUGAACCGUGAGGCUUAACCUU
rnacentral:rRNA from 1 species